UUGGAGGGCAAGUCUGGUGCCAGCAGCCGCGGUAAUUCCAGCUCCAAUAGCGUAUAUUAAAGUUGUUGCAGUUAAAAAGCUCGUAGUUGAAAUUCGAAAUUUGUCCUAUGGUCGGGCUUUACGGUCCGUACAGUAGUGGCGAAUUUCUACCUUCUGAAGAACCUUCAUGUCAUUAAUUUGGUGUGUUGGGAAAUCAGGACUGUUACUUUGAAAAAAUUAGAGUGUUUAAAGCAGGCUUAAGUCUGAAUACAUUAGCAUGGAAUAAUGAAAUAGGACGGAUUGGUUCUAUUUUGUUGGUUUCUAGGAUCACCGUAAUGAUUAAUAGGGAUAGUUGGGGGCAUUAGUAUUCAAUUGUCAGAGGUGAAAUUCUUGGAUUUAUUGAAGACUAACUUCUGCGAAAGCAUUUGCCAAGGAUGUUUUCAUUAAUCAAGAACGAAAGUUAGGGGAUCGAAGACGAUCAGAUACCGUCGUAGUCUUAACCAUAAACUAUGCCGACUAGGGAUCGGACGAAGUUAAUUUUCAGAUGACUCGUUCGGCGCC
rnacentral:rRNA from 1 species